UUGUAUCAACGGCACCACGAGGGUUAGACUGUCUCCUUUUUCAAAUCAGUGAAAUUAAUCUCCCCGUGAAGAAGCGGGGAUACCCAUAUAAGACGAGAAGACCCCAUGGAGCUUCAAACCCAACUACACCCCUAGCUCUUAUAGCCCCACAACCCCCCUAGGCACCGUGUGCUUGGUUUUAGGUUGGGGCGACCGCGGAGUACAAUAAAACCUCCACAAUGAAUGGGAACACCCCCUUAUCUGAGGGCCACACCCCCUAAGAAUUAGAACACUAACAUAAAAUGAUCCAUUACUUGAUCAAUGAACCAAGUUACCCUGGGGAUAACAGCGCAAUCCAUUUCAAGAGCCCCUAUCGACAAAUGGGUUUACGACCUCGAUGUUGGAUCAGGGUACCCCAGUGGUGCAGCAGCUACUAACGGUUCGUUUGUUCAACGAUUAAAACCCU
rnacentral:rRNA from 1 species